AGCAGUAGGGAAGUCUUCGGCAAUGGACGAAAGUCUGACCGAGCAACGCCGCGUGAGUGAAGAAGGUUUUCGGAUCGUAAAACUCUGUUGGUAGAGAAGAACGUUGGUGAGAGUGGAAAGCUCAUCAAGUGACGGUAACUACCCAGAAAGGGACGGCUAACUACGUGCCGG
rnacentral:rRNA from 1 species